ensembl:lncRNA
UCCAAGCCGGAGACAUCAGUGGCAAAUAGCACCUGUGUUGCUUGUGAGCCGUUCCAGUCCCAGUCCUGACGUGUGUGCGUUGUUCUUUCCUGGCCACUUAAGUAGGACCAUAAGUAAACCUGACUUUGACUGCAUGAGAUAUCCCUAUCUGGUCUCCUCAGUCCUCUGCAUCCCAACAUUCCCAGGACAUGCAUGAUCACCAGCAUUUAUUUUCAUGAUUUGACGAUAUACUCUAAGUCACAGAUGGUCAGCGUCCAGUCAUGUCCUAUCUAGAUUAGCAAAAUGAUCAGCAUCCUCCAGCUUAUUAACAAGUCUGGGUGUAGUCACUCUUUCGAGUCAAAGACUUCAUAGCUCUGUUAAAACUCCUGGAGAAAAAAACUGAGCUUGGCCCCAAAGACAUCCCUCCGUAGAUUUUUGAACACGAUUUCAUUGUAGAAGUUUCCCUGCCUCAUUGGGGAGGCUCGUCCAGGAUGAUAGAGACCGAUUUCAGACAAAUCUAUUUAUCACAGAAGUUUCAUGGUGUCUGAAUGAUUGUUUUUUUUUUCUCUUUGUAUAUUUGUACAAAUGUUUCAGCUGUGCUUUUAAAUAUCUGGAUGUCUUUUAUUUAGGGAUUGUUCAGCAUUAGCUGCUUUAAAGCAUAUGUGCAUCGCUUAUGAAUGCAUUCAUAUACUAAUACAGGUAAUCUGAUAAUAUUACACUCUAUUAUGGAUAAUGCUGAAUUUUGAAAGGGCACAAAACUUCUCAUGCCGAUCUAUAAAUGACUAGCCAACAUCUCUGCUAUCAAGACCAGUUGCUUUUAAAUAAAGCGAAGAAGCAAGUGUCGGUUGCAGACAGUUGAAAUGCAGCUAAAUCGAUGUAGCAGCCACUGAGCAUAUUCAAAGGGAAAGACUGAUAGAUAAAUGUAUGCAGUUCCUACUCGUGCAAUGCCGUAUUGCUCAAAAACGUAUUUGUUUUUGUUACAUGUGAUUUUUCUAUUUCUCUAGCCCGAAGUGCAUUAUAGAAGAUACACCUAUAGAACCAUUACCUUCUGCUCUAUGUGCCAGGCCUCAUCUACUCCUGUACAUUCAUGAAUUACUUUAGAUGCAAAUGCCGAUUACGAUGGAGUGGGGAAAUACUUUCAUUACCCAAGCCUCAGAAAAACACACAAGAACAAUAACACAGCCACCUGAUGGAAGGAUUGUUGUGGUUUUUGAUUAAGGUGUAAGUUUCAUCAGAAACGUAAACCAUUAGACUGAUUACUCAGAAACAAAAGUCCGUUCUACUGUGAAUAUAGCAAUACAGUACUGGGUACGGCACAGGUGAAACUGAGGACAGACAGCAUUGCUUGUAAAAUCCUGAGUUUCCAUAGAAAAAUGAAGGCUCCUUUGAAAAAUAAAAUCUGAGGAGUAUAUAACAAGCAAAUGCUUUGACUUUCCUUUUCUGCGAAGGUUUUUGGUUUUUCAUGGACAAACGAAAAGAUUAGAUUUAAUAAAUAGUGGAGAAUUCUUCCCCCUAGUGGAAGAAGUUGAGAACUACAGUCCAUUUUGCGCUGAUUCUCUUCUUAAGCGUCAGAAUUUUUAGAAGGCAGCCUCUAGAGAAAUCUGGGUGAGAGAAGCUAUUUGGAAAUGACUUUUCAAUGUUUUAAAACAGAUCCAUCAGACAUUGCCAACAAAAUUUAGUAAAAGUUGAAAUGGCCAUUGUGUGUCAUCAAAAAAACCCUCAGUGGAAUGUAUGACCCAAGUGGUUAGUCUUGGUGACAUUUAUUGCAAAGUGUCGAUGUUAAUCUGUCUCAGAUCAAGUAGUUCUCUCACGAGGUUGGGUUUGGGGAGGUGGGGAGAAACACGUGUCCCAGGAGAGGGAGAAGAAACGGGGGACUCCUUGAAGGGUUUCGGUGGCCCCUCCGAGCACCACGAAAGUCACAGUUGCCUCAGCAUCUCCGUGAGCUACAGGAUGCAAACCUCGUCAGCACUAUUUUAAGUUUGAAAAGUUUAAAUAUGGAGGAGGAGGGGGAGAUUGCCACCAACUGAAUCAUUUGUGCACGUGUAUAGCUCAAAGAGCUUAGAUUUCAAAUAUACCUGGUGAAUGAC